GACGAACGCUGGCGGCGUGCUUAACACAUGCAAGUCGAACGGUAAGGCCCUUUCGGGGGUACACGAGUGGCGAACGGGUGAGUAACACGUGAGUAACCUGCCCUGCACUCUGGGAUAAGCCUGGGAAACUGGGUCUAAUACCGGAUAUGAUCAACUGUCGCAUGGUGGUUGGUGGAACGCUUUUGCGGUGUGGGAUGGGCCCGCGGCCGAUCAGCUUGUUGGUGGGGUAAUGGCCUACCAAGGCGACGACGGGUAGCCGACCUGAGAGGGUGAUCGGCCACACUGGGACUGAGACACGGCCCAGACUCCUACGGGAGGCAGCAGUGGGGAAUAUUGCACAAUGGGCGGAAGCCUGAUGCAGCGACGCCGCGUGAGGGAUGACGGCCUUCGGGUUGUAAACCUCUUUCACCAGGGACGAAGCGUGAGUGACGGUACCUGGAGAAGAAGCACCGGCCAACUACGUGCCAGCCGCCGCGGUAACAC
rnacentral:rRNA from 1 species